rnacentral:tRNA from 1 species
GCGAUACUUCGCAUUGGUUAUUUGUUAAAUAAUAAAGAGUUACAUUAACGCACUGAUUAUAUUUGAUAUUUAUAUCGGCUUCCGAAGCCAAGGGUCACUGGUUCGACUCCAGUCGGGCGCACCA